rnacentral:rRNA from 1 species
AAAAAGCUCGUAGUUGGAUUUCUACCGAAGAUAGCCGGUCGGGUCUUCGGCCUUGUAUCUGGUUUUGUCUUUGGUAUCCUUAUGGGGAACGUUGCUGCGCUUUAUUGCGUGGUGCGGUAUCCAUAACUUUUACUUUGAGGAAAUUAGAGUGUUCACGGCAGGCAAACGCCCUGAAUAUAUUAGCAUGGAAUAAUAACAUAGGAUCUUCGUCCUAUUUUGUUGGUUUCUAGGGCUAAGAUAAUGAUUAAUAGGGAUAAUUGGGGGCAUCUGUAUCAACGCGUCAGAGGUGGAAUUCUUGGAUUGCGUUGCGACAAACUACUGCGAAAGCAUUUGCCAAGGAUGUUUUCAUUGAUCAAGAACGAAAGUAAGGGGAUCGAAGACGAUUAGAUACCGUCGUAGUCUUUACCAUAAACUAUGCCAACUAGGGAUCGGUGGUCGUUCUUUCUAUGACUCCAUCGGCACCUUAUGAGAUAUCAAAGUUUUUGGGUUCCGGGAGGAGUAUGGUCGCAAGGCUGAAACUUAAAGGAAUUGACGGAAGGGCACCACCAGGAGUGGAGCCUGCGGCUUAAUUUGACUCAACACGGGAAAACUCACCAGGUCCAGACAAAAAUAGGAUUGACAGAUUGAUAGCUCUUUCUUGAUUCUUUGGGUGGUGGUGCAUGGCCGUUCUUAGUUGGUGGAGUGAUUUGUCUGCUUAAUUGCGUUAACGAACGAGACCUCAGCCUGCUAAAUAGUGCGUUCUAACCUCGGUUAAAUCGAUCACUUCUUAGAGGGACUUUGCCCGCUUUAGGGUAGGGAAGCUUGAGUCUAAAACAGGUCUGUAAUGCCCUUAGAUGUUCUGGGCUGCACGCGCGCUAC